rnacentral:other from 1 species
UGCCUGCCGAGUUCGACACCCUCGGACGAUCUUAACCCAACACUCUUUAAAAAGGGAGUCUAACUCGAAUGCGGAAUGCAGACCUCCCCGCACCUCGUGCGGGAAGAAGGGAGCUGGAAACGGACGGAGGACACCCACCUGCUUAUUGCAGGUUAUCAUUCACCGACACCGGCUCGGCGGGUUUU